GUUUCAGAUACUCUCGCUGUUUCUUCAGUAGACGGUGGUAGUCAGGCUGUCAGGAAAGAGCAGGAUACCAACGCUGGUGUGCAAAGCAGAGAUAACAGUAGGAUCCAAGAAUCGGGUGCAGAAGUGGACAUGGCACUUUCUGAUUCUUGUAAAUAUAGUAGAACAGAAAAUUUAAAGGAUAAAAUGAUUUCUAAUGAGUUAGAAACAGUUGAUUUUGGCAUGCCAUCUGUUUUGACUGAACAGAGUUCAGAAAUGUCCAAUACCAAAGAUAGCCCACAAUACCAGAGGCUGCCAUGUGAGCUGUUAAAAGAUGACGGUGAUUUGGCAGAAGAGAAAGUAGGCAUGGCAGGCAAUAGUACAAAGUGU
rnacentral:lncRNA from 1 species